GCUAAUAAAGGUGUGGCUUGUAUGUAGGUGUGGUUCGUUUGCAUGGAGAAUGAUUUCUUGCAGCUUCAUUGUUGUUUUCUUUGCUUUGCAAGCUUCCUUUACAAAAUCAGACCAGAUUGAGAGGUCACUAGAUGGAAAGAACUGGCAGUUAUCAGAUUCUGCUGGAAAAGUCUUCCAGCCACAGUCUCUGGAAUAGCCUACUAGCACAGAAAGUCAUUUAUGAUCUUUAUUUUGGUGAGAAACUGAGAAUGAUUCAAAU